rnacentral:sRNA from 1 species
AGGUUCGAAUAACAAGGCCUGCUGUGCUUGCACAAAGCAGGCCUUGUUUUUUCGAACCGAACGAAUACGAGGAAGCAGCCGUUCCGCGCAGCGGAACGAGCGGAUUCCGAGUAUUCGCAGGAUUGCGGGAGUGCGAAGCGCGAAGCAAUCCGU